rnacentral:rRNA from 1 species
GACGAACGCUGGCGGCGUGCUUAACACAUGCAAGUCGAACGGAAAGGCCCGGCUUUUGUGGGGUGCUCGAGUGGCGAACGGGUGAGUAACACGCGAGUAACCUGUCCUUGACUGUGGGAUAACUUCAGGAAACUGGGGCGAAUACAGGAGAGGAGCUCCUGCUGCACGGGGGGGGUUGGAAAGUUUCGGCGGUGGGGGAUGGACUCGCGGCUUAUGAGCUUGUUGGUGGGGUAGGGGCUUACCAAGGCUUUGACGGGUAGCCGGCCUUAGAGGGUGACCGGCCACAUUGGGCCUGAGAUACGGCCCAGUCUCCUACCGGCGGCAGCAGUGGGGAAUCUUGCACAAUGGGCCGAAGCCUGAUGCAGCAACGCCGCGUGCGGGAUGACGGCCUUCGGGUUGUAAACCGCUUUCGCCUGUGACGAAGCGUGAGUGACGGUAAUGGGUAAAGAAGCACCGGCUAACUACGUG